rnacentral:rRNA from 1 species
GACGAACCGUCCUAACGUUGUUCGGAAUCACUGGGCUUAAAGGGCGCGUAGGCGGGUUCCCAAGUCGGUGGUGAAAUCUUUCGGCCCAACCGGAAAACAGCCGCCGAUACUGGGAGUCUUGAGGGAGGUAGGGGUCGAUGGAACUUCCGGUGGAGCGGUGAAAUGCGUAGAUAUCGGAAGGAACGCCGGUGGCGAAAGCGAUCGACUGGACCUUUUCUGACGCUGAGACGCGAAAGCCAGGGGAGCAAACGGG